AGUUUAGUGGUAAAACUACAGCCUUCCAAGCUGUUGUCGCGAGUUCGAAUCCCGUACGGA
rnacentral:tRNA from 2 species